GAGGUUUUCUAGGUCUCCGUUU
rnacentral:miRNA from 1 species